rnacentral:rRNA from 1 species
UACGUAGGGGGCAAGCGUUGUCCGGAUUCAUUGGGCGUAAAGGGUGCGUAGGCGGCGCGGUAAGUCGGGUGUGAAAUCUCGGAGCUUAACUCCGAAACUGCAUUCGAUACUGCCGUGCUUGAGGACUGGAGAGGAGACUGGAAUUUACGGUGUAGCGGUGAAAUGCGUAGAUAUCGUAAGGAAGACCAGUGGCGAAGGCGGGUCUCUGGACAGUGCCUGACGCUGAGGCACGAAGGUCAGGGGAGCAAACGGG